AUGGCAGCACUGCCGUAUCUCGCCGUCCUCCUCCUGCUCCUCCGCCCAGCGGCCGCACCCGCCGCUCGACCGCCGCCGCCUUCCAAGCCUCCGCCGCCGCAGCCGCACCAGAAAGUGUUCGUCUGGCCCAAGCCGACGUCCAUCUCGUGGCCGUCCGUCGUGUACGCGCCGCUCACCCCGACCUUCAGCAUCCGCGCGGUGCCGACCCACCCGGCCCUCCGCCACGCGAUCGCCUACUACAUCCGCCACAUCCGCGCCGAGCGCCACACGCCGCUGGUGCCCCCCGCCAACUACACGCUCGCCCGCGUCCCCGUCCGCCUCCUCACGCUCUCCGUCUCCGACGCCCAAGUCCCGCUCGGCCCCGACGUCGACGAGUCCUACACGCUCUCCGUGCCCGCGGACUCGGCCUCCGCCGACAUCUCCGCGGCCACGCCCUGGGGCGCCAUCCGCGGCCUCGAGACCUUCUCCCAGCUCGCAUGGGCCGGCGGCGGCGAGGCUGCGGGCGGCCAGUCGAUUGUCCCCAGCGGCAUCGAGAUCUCCGACCGCCCCCUCUUCACCCACCGUGGCAUCCUUCUCGACACCGCCCGCAACUUCUACCCCGUCCGCGACAUCCUCCACACCAUCCGCGCCAUGGCGUUCAACAAGCUCAACGUCUUCCACUGGCACAUCACCGACGCCCAGUCCUUCCCCAUCGUCCUCCCCACCGUCCCCAGCCUUGCCCACUUCGGCUCCUACUCCCCCUUCAUGCGCUACACCGACAAGGACGUCCGCCGCAUCGUCAAUUACGCCGCCGCCUUCGGCGUCCGCGUCAUCCCCGAGAUCGACAUGCCCGGGCACACGGGUUCGUGGGCAGGAGCGUACCCGGAGAUCGUGACCUGCGCGAACAAGUUCUGGGCGCCCACGGCGAGUCCCGCGCUGGCGGCGGAGCCCUGCACGGGGCAGCUGAAUCCGCUGAACCCCAAGGCGUACCGCGUGGCGCAGGACGUUCUGCGCGACCUGUCGGCCCUGUUCCCGGACCCGUUCCUCCACGGCGGCGCCGACGAGGUGAACACGGCGUGCUGGGAGGACGACCCCGUUGUACGCCGCUUCCUCAGCGAGGGCGGCACGCACGACCAACUCCUGGAGCUGUUCGUGAACGCGACCCGGCCGUUCAUGGUGCACGAGCUGAACCGCACGGUGGUGUACUGGGAGGACGUGCUCCUGGGGCCCAAGGUGAUGGUGGGGCCGACGGCGCUGCCCAAGGAGACGACCGUGCUGCAGACGUGGAACAACGGGGCCGAGAACACGAAGCGGAUCGUGGCCGCCGGGUACCGCGCCAUCGUCUCCUCGGCGGCCUACUACUACCUGGACUGCGGGCACGGCGGGUGGGUGGGCAACGACAGCCGGUACGACAAACAGGAGGAGGAGGGCGACGGGGCGCCGCUGUUCAACGACCCCGGGGGCACGGGUGGAUCGUGGUGCGCGCCGUUCAAGACGUGGCAGCGCGUGUACGACUACGACAUCCUGCACGGGCUGACCGAGGAGGAGGCCAACCUGGUGCUGGGCGGCGAGGUGGCGCUGUGGUCGGAGCAGUCGGACGCCGCGGUGCUGGACGGCAGGCUCUGGCCGAGGGCCGCCGCCGCCGCGGAGACGCUCUGGUCCGGGAACAAGGGCGCCAGCGGGAGGAAGCGGUACGCCAACGCCACGGACCGGCUCAACGACUGGAGGCACCGGAUGGUGGCGCGCGGCAUCCGCGCCGAGCCCCUACAGCCGCUGUGGUGCCCGCUGCACCCCGGCAUGUGCAACCUCUCGCAGUAG
rnacentral:rRNA from 1 species